rnacentral:rRNA from 1 species
AAUGAACGUUGGCGGCGUGGAUUAGGCAUGCAAGUCGAACGAUAUCUGUAGCAAUACAGUGAAAGUGGCGAAAGGGAGAGUAAUACGUAGGUACCUGCCCUCGGGUCUGGGAUAGCUGCGGGAAACUGCAAUUAAUAACCGGAUGACGUCUCUGGACCAAAGGUGUGAUUCCGCCAGAGGAUGGGCCUGCGUCCUAUCAGCUAGUUGGUGUGGUAAUGGCGCACCAAGGCUAAGACGGUAC